rnacentral:misc_RNA from 1 species
UCUCCGUAGGUGAACCUGCGGAGGGAUCACUACAGAGUUCAUGCCCUACCGGGUAGAUCUCCCACCCUAUGUUAUUAUUACUUUGUCGCUUUGGCGGGCCGUUAGGCUCCGGCCCGACUACCGGCCCCGGCUGGUAAGCGCCCGCCAGAGGACCCAAAACCCUGAAUAUUAGUGUCGUCUGAGUACUAUAUAAUAGUUAAAACUUUCAACAACGGAUCUCUUGGUUCUG